rnacentral:misc_RNA from 1 species
GAUGAAGAACGCAGCGAAAUGCGAUACGUAAUGUGAAUUGCAGAAUUCAGUGAAUCAUCGAGUCUUUGAACGCAUAUUGCGCUCUCUGGUAUUCCGGAGAGCAUGCUUGUUUGAGUAUCAGUAAACACCUCAACUCCCUUUUCUUUUUUGAAAUUGGAGCUGGACUUGAGUGAUCCCAACGCUUUCUUCCAAGAAAGUGGCGGGUUGCUUGAAAUGCAGGUGCAGCUGAACUUUUCUCUGAGCUAUAAGCAUAUCUAUUUAGUCUGCCUAAAAAACAGAUUAUUACCUUUGCUGCAGCUAACAUAAAGGAGACUAGUUCUUGUGCUGACUGAUGCAGGAUUCACAGAGACAGCUUCGGCUGACUUUGUAAACUCGAUCUCAAAUCAAGUAAGACUACCCGCUGAACUUAAGCAUAUCAAUAAGCGGAGGA